rnacentral:rRNA from 1 species
AUUGAGCGCUGGCGGCAGGCCUAACACAUGCAAGUCGGACGGUAGCACAGAGAGCUUGCUCUCGGGUGACGAGUGGCGGACGGGUGAGUAAUGUCUGGGGAUCUGCCCGAUAGAGGGGGAUAACCACUGGAAACGGUGGCUAAUACCGCAUAACGUCGCAAGACCAAAGAGGGGGACCUUCGGGCCUCUCACUAUCGGAUGAACCCAGAUGGGAUUAGCUAGUAGGCGGGGAAACGGCCCACCUAGGCGACGAUCCCUAGCUGGUCUGAGAGGAUGACCAGCCACACGGGAACUGAGACACGGUCCAGACGCCUACGGGAGGCAGCAGUGGGGAAUAUUGCACAAUGGGCGAAAGCCUGAUGCAGCCAUGCCGCGUGUAUGAAGAAGGCCUUCGGGUUGUAAAGUACUUUCAGCGGGGAGGAAGGCGAUGUGGUUAAUAACCGCGUCGAUUGACGUUACCCGCAGAAGAAGCACCGGCUAACUCCGUGCCAGCCGCCGCCGUAA